GACUUGGUAGCUCAGUUGGUAGAGCACAACACUUUUUAAUGUUGGGGGUCCUGGGUUCGAGCCCCAGCCAGGUCACAA
rnacentral:tRNA from 1 species